GAUGAACGCCGCCAGAAUGCUUAACACAUGCAAGUCUUUGGCGAAGCUGUGCUUGCACAGCCUAGCCAAGGCGGACGGGUGAGUAACGCGUAAGGAACUUGCCCUGCAGUCAGGGAUAACAGACGGAAACGACUGAUAAGACCUGGUAAAGUCAGGCGGACUCAUGUCCAGCCUGAUGAAAAGAGAUGCUGCAGGAGAGCCUUGCGUCCUAUUAGCUUGUUGGUGGGGUAACGGCCCACCAAGGCGAUGAUAGGUAGCCGGCCUGAGAGGGUGGACGGCCACAAGGGGACUGAGAUACGGCCCUUACUCCUACGGGAGGCAGCAGUGGGGAAUAUUGGACAAUGGGGGCAACCCUGAUCCAGCAAUUCUGUGUGCACGAUGAAGGUUUUCGGAUUGUAAAGUGCUUUCAGCAGGGAAGAAAAAAAUGACGGUACCUGCAGAAGAAGCGACGGCUAAAUACGUG
rnacentral:rRNA from 1 species